GAUGCUGCUGGUCCCUGGACCACACUUUGAGAACCAAUGUUCUCUGAAAGUAACGAGGGAGACUAACAACUCCUCUUCUACAACUUUUGAGGUAUCUGAUCAUCAGUAUCAAGCCACCCUGAAAUCUUCUUCAAGGAAAACUGUCCUAGGCGCUUUAACUGCUCCACAUAUGAGAAAUCACUUACAGAUGACCAGCUCUGUCACCACCACUCAGGCUGAAUCACUAGGAUACAGUGCUGGUAGCCACCAAGAGAGUUACUGCAGUUAUACACAAACAAUGAGAGAGAGUGAAACCGUUUCUCAAGGUCAAAGAGAGAGAACCAGUCUAACGCUGAGACUGUGGGAGGCGGAGGACAACAGCACUGGGACGGCAGUCAGGAAGGCUGGAUUCUAGCCCCUCUUCUGCUGUGUGGCCUGGGGCAAGUGCUUCUAGAAGUUCAGAGUCUGAGAAAACCCGUGAAGUUUGGAAAUGCAUGGAGGAUGUUCACACAGAAGGAAUCUCAGAUCCAGUGCUUCGCCGCCUCGCUAGGCUGCCCUGGAUGGGGCUGUGGACUGACCCAGCACAGCCUGAGAGGAGCAAGGGAGACUCAGGAAGAGGCUGCUCAUGUGGGGCUGAGUUGUUUCGUGCUGGAAUCAAUUAUUACUGACAAGUCGCUAGUGGAGAAGCGGCUCUCUUUAGUCAAGUAUCCAGCUUUGCAAG
rnacentral:lncRNA from 1 species